UCUCUGCAAGGGCAAACCGUCGGCGACGGCGGGGCGCAAAGCCAAGGGGUCUCAGCCAGACACGAGACGGCCCGGCUGCCAGA
rnacentral:ncRNA from 1 species